rnacentral:rRNA from 1 species
GACGAACGCUGGCGGCGUGCCUAAUACAUGCAAGUCGAACGCAGUGGGGACGGGUGAGUAACACGUGGGUAACCUCCCAUCAGAGGGGAUAACACUUGGAAACAGGUGCUAAACCGAUACUGAUGGAUGGACCCGCGGUGCAUUAGCUAGUUGGUGAGGUAACGGCUGACCAAGGCCAAGAUGCAUAGCCGACCUGAGAGGGUGAUCGGCCACACUGGGACUGAGACACGGCCCAGACUCCUACGGGAGGCAGCAGUAGGGAAGGUUCGGCAAUGGAGGAAAGUAUGACCGAGCAACGCCGCGUGAGUGAAGAAGGUUUUAGGGUCGUAAGACUCUGUUGUUAGAGAGGUGGUAUCUAACCAGAAAGCCACGGCUAAGUACGCGCAAGCCGCCGCGAUAAUAC